GAUGAGUGCCUGUAGCACCCUACUCU
rnacentral:piRNA from 1 species